UACAGAGGUCCCAAGCGUUGUUCGGAUUCAUUGGGCGUAAAGGGUGCGUAGGUGGCGGGGUAAGUCAGGUGUGAAAUUUCGGAGCUUAACUCCGAAACUGCAUUUGAUACUGCCUUGCUUGAGGACUGGAGAGGAGACUGGAAUUCACGGUGUAGCAGUGAAAUGCGUAGAUAUCGUGAGGAAGACCAGUGGCGAAGGCGGGUCUCUGGACAGUUCCUGACGCUGAGGCACGAAGGCCAGGGGAGCAAACGGG
rnacentral:rRNA from 1 species